rnacentral:lncRNA from 1 species
GAUGAGCUUAAUUGUAUAUGAUAAAAAGGUUCAAGUUUGGGGUUGUAUGAGGGAAAAUUGAAAAGCAAUUGUGAAACAUUGAGCUCAAAUGUUUUGAAAAGAAAAAUUCAUGAGAAAAAGAAAAGAAAAGAAGAAAAGCAUGAAGAAGAGAUCAAUGCAAAAAGAAAAAGAAAAAGGGAAAAAGUUGGGAAUGAGUGAGAUUGGUGAGAAAGAGAGUUGUGCUUAAAUUGUUGAAUAUUUUGAAAGCUCUCUUAACUCAAGAACUUUGUAUUACGGAAAAACCAAUUUUUCUUGUUAGCCCAACCUCAUUACAAGCCUUGAAAAUAUCUUUAUGUGACUUGUGAACAAUAGAGAGUUGAGUGUAACCUUAAACACUUGAGUGAUUGAGUGAAACACUUGCUUGGUAUGAACUGUUAGUUUUCAUGAGUGCAUUUUUGCUUAGUGGAUUGGUCAUUCAUAA